rnacentral:rRNA from 1 species
UGGGGAAUAUUGCACAAUGGGGGAAACCCUGAUGCAGCGACGCCGCGUGGAGGAAGAAGGUCUUCGGAUUGUAAACUCCUGUUGUUGAGGAAGAUAAUGACGGUACUCAACAAGGAAGUGACGGCUAACUACGUGCCAGCAGCCGCGGUAAAACGUAGGUCACAAGCGUUGUCCGGAAUUACUGGGUGUAAAGGGAGCGCAGGCGGGAGAACAAGUUGGAAGUGAAAUCCAUGGGCUCAACCCAUGAACUGCUUUCAAAACUGUUUUUCUUGAGUAGUGCAGAGGUAGGCGGAAUUCCCGGUGUAGCGGUGGAAUGCGUAGAUAUCGGGAGGAACACCAGUGGCGAAGGCGGCCUACUGGGCACCAACUGACGCUGAGGCUCGAAAGUGUGGGUAGCAAACAGGAUUAGAUACCCUGGUAGUCCACACCGUAAACGAUGAUUACUAGGUGUUGGAGGAUUGACCCCUUCAGUGCCGCAGUUAACACAAUAAGUAAUCCACCUGGGGAGUACGACCGCAAGGUUGAAACUCAAAGGAAUUGACGGGGGCCCGCACAAGCAGUGGAGUAUGUGGUUUAAUUCGACGCAACGCGAAGAACCUUACCAAGUCUUGACAUCCCUUGACGAUGCUGGAAACAGCAUUUCUCUUCGGAGCAAGGAGACAGGUGGUGCAUGGUUGUCGUCAGCUCGUGUCGUGAGAUGUUGGGUUAAGUCCCGCAACGAGCGCAACCCUUAUGGUCAGUUACUACGAAAGAGGACUCUGGCCAGACUGCCGUUGACAAAACGGAGGAAGGUGGGGAUGACGUCAAAUCAUCAUGCCCUUUAUGACUUGGGCUACACACGUACUACAAUGGCGUUAAACAAAGAGAAGCAAGACCGCGAGGUGGAGCAAAACUCAGAAACAACGUCCCAGUUCGGACUGCAGGCUGCAACUCGCCUGCACGAAGUCGGAAUUGCUAGUAAUCGUGGAUCAGCAUGCCACGGUGAAUACGUUCCC